AGCCGCGCGGUGAGCACAGAGCGAAUUUUUCUUUCGCCUUUUACUAAAGAAUACCGUGUGCUCGCCGCAAUCAGCGGCAUACGCCUGUUUUUGGAGGGGUUUCCCUUGGGAACCCC
rnacentral:snRNA from 1 species